rnacentral:rRNA from 1 species
AUGAGCAAAGGCGCCAUAAUCGGCGCGUCCACCGUCCUGGUGGUGGCGGUCGUCGCUGCCGUCUGCGUCGUGUCCUUCAAAGAAGCUAAAAAUGAGGAGGACAGCACGGAGCUGACGACGUCGAUCAAGUCGAUCAAGUCCUUCUGCCAGCCCGUGGACUACAAGGCGGCGUGCGAGAAGACGCUGGGGGAGACGGCCGGCAAUGCGACGACCACGACGGAGCUGGCCAAGGCCAUCUUCAAGGCCACCUCGGAGCGGAUCGAGAAGGCCGUGCAGGAGUCCAGCCUGCUCAACGAGCUCAAACAUGACCCACGCACGUCGGGCGCGCUCAAGAACUGCAAGGAGAUGCUCCACUAUGCCAUCGACGACCUCAAGACCACCUUCGACCAGCUCGGCGGCUUCGAGAUGACCAACUUCAAGCACGCCAUGGACGACCUCAAGACGUGGCUCACCUCCGCGCUCACGUACCAGGAGACCUGCAUUGACGGCUUCGCCAACACCACGACCGACGCCUCCGCCAAGAUGCGCAAGGCGCUUAACGUCUCCCAGGAGCUGACGGAGAACAUCCUGUCCGUGGACGAGUUCGGGGACACCAUCGCCAACCUGGACCUGUCCAUCUUCAGCCGGCGGCUGCUCGGGCACGACGGCGCGCCCAGGUGGAUGUCGGACGCCAAGCGGAGGCUGCUGGAGGUGUCUCCCAGCGAGCCCGACUUCAAGCCGGACAUGACGGUGGCGGCGGACGGCAGCGGCGACUACAAGACCAACAACGAGGCGCUGGCCAAGGUGCCGCUCAAGAGCGAGGACACGUUCGUGAUGCACGUCAAGGAGGGCACGUACAAGGAGUACGUCUCCGUGGCGCGCAACGUGACGAACCUCGUCAUGAUCGGCGACGGGGCCGGCAAGACGGUCAUCACGGGGGACAAGAACUUCAUGAUGAACAUCACCACCAAGGACACGGCCACCAUGGAGGCGAUCGGCAACGGCUUCUUCAUGCGCGGGAUCACGGUGGAGAACACGGCGGGCGCCAAGAACCACCAGGCCGUGGCGCUGAGGGUGCAGAGCGACCAGUCGGUGUUCUACGAGUGCCAGUUCGACGGGUACCAGGACACGCUGUACACGCACACCAGCCGGCAGUACUACCGCGACUGCACCGUGAGCGGCACCAUCGACUUCAUCUUCGGCAACGCACAGGUGGUGUUCCAGAACUGCCAGGUGCGCAAGUGCAUGGAGAACCAGCAGAACAUCAUCACGGCGCAGGGGCGCAAGGAGAGGCACUCCGCCGGCGGCAUCGUCAUCCACAACUGCACCAUCGAGCCGCACCCGGAGUUCAAGGACCACAUCGGCAGGCUCCGGACGUUCCUGGGGCGGCCGUGGAAGGAGCACUCCCGCACCCUCUACAUCCAGUCGGAGAUCGGCGACCUCAUCGACCCGCAGGGGUGGCUGCCGUGGCUCGGCGACUUCGCGCUCAGCACCUGCUACUACGCCGAGGUGGACAACCGGGGGCCGGGGGCCGACAUGAGCAAUCGCGUCACGUGGAAGGGCGUCAAGCACGUCACCUACCGGCAGGCGCAAGAGAAGUACAACGUCGAGAGGUUCAUCCAGGGGAAGCUCUGGAUCUCCAAGUACGGCGUGCCCUUCAUCCCGGGGUUGCUGCCGCAGGAGCAGGCCGCCCACACUGACACUGAGCCAAGCUAG